AAUGAACGCUGGCGGUGUGCCUAAUACAUGCAUGUUGAACGAAGCACUUGUGCUUAGUAGCGAAUGGGUGAGUAACACGUACUUAAUCUGCCUUUUAGUUUGGAAUAACCUUGGGAAACUAAGGCUAAUACCGGAUAUAAAAUUUUGACUAUGUCUUUAUUUUGAAAGGGGCGUUUGCCUCGCUAAAAGAUGAGAGUGCGGGACAUUAGUUAGUUGGUAGGGUAAUGGCCUACCAAGACGAUGAUGUAUAGCGGGGUUGAGAAGCUGAACCGCCACACUGGGACUGAGAUACGGCCCAGACUCCUACGGGAGGCAGCAGUAGGGAAUAUUCCACAAUGAGCGAAAGCUUGAUGGAGCGACACAGCGUGCAGGAUGAAGGUCUUCGGAUUGUAAACUGCUGUUAUAAGGGAAGAAAAACCGGUGUAGGAAAUGACAUCGGCUUGACGGUACCUUAUCAGAAAGCACCGGCAAACUAU
rnacentral:rRNA from 1 species